UACGUAGGGGGCUAGCGUUGUCCGGAUUUAUUGGGCGUAAAGAGCGUGUAGGCGGCCAGGUAGGUCUGGUGUGAAAACUCGAGGCUCAACCUCGAGACGUCGGCGGAAACCAUCUGGCUAGAGUCCGGAAGAGGAGAGUGGAAUUCCUGGUGUAGCGGUGAAAUGCGCAGAUAUCAGGAAGAACACCCGUGGCUAAGGCGGCUCUCUAGUACGGUACUGACGCUGAGGAGCGAAAGCGUGGGGAGCGAACAGG
rnacentral:rRNA from 1 species